AGAAAUAUUUUAUAUUAGGCUGCUGACUUAAUUUUUAGUGAUUAAUAAUCAUUAAUAUUUCUA
rnacentral:tRNA from 1 species